rnacentral:rRNA from 1 species
AUUGAACGCUGGCGGCAUGCUUUACACAUGCAAGUCGAACGGCAGCACGGGUGCUUGCACCUGGUGGCGAGUGGCGGACGGGUGAGUAAUACAUCGGAACGUAUCCAGAAGAGGGGGAUAACGCAUCGAAAGAUGUGCUAAUACCGCAUAUUCUCUGAGGAGGAAAGCAGGGGAUCGCAAGACCUUGCGCUUUUGGAGCGGCUGAUGUCUGAUUAGCUAGUUGGUGGGGUAAAGGCCUACCAAGGCGACGAUCAGUAGUUGGUCUGAGAGGACGACCAGCCACACUGGGACUGAGACACGGCCCAGACUCCUACGGGAGGCAGCAGUGGGGAAUUUUGGACAAUGGGCGCAAGCCUGAUCCAGCAAUGCCGCGUGAGUGAAGAAGGCCUCGGUUGUAAG